rnacentral:misc_RNA from 1 species
GAUGAAGAACGUAGCGAAAUGCGAUAAGUAAUGUGAAUUGCAGAAUUCAGUGAAUCGUCGAAUCUUUGAACGCACAUUGCGCCCGCCAGUAUUCUGGCGGGCAUGCCUGUCCGAGCGUCAUUUCAACCAUCAAGCCCCGGGCUUGUGUUGGGGACCUGCGUCCGACGCAGGCCCUGAAAACCAGUGGCGGGCUCGCUGUCCACACCGAGCGUAGUAACUAACCUCGCUAUGGAGUGGCGCGGGCGCCUGCCGUAAAACCCCCAAUUUCACAAGGUUGACCUCGGAUCAGGUAGGAAUACCCGCUGAACUUAAGCAUAUCAAUAAGCGGAGGA